GAGGAGAGGCCUACCAGCAAGAACUGCUAAUUCUCGCACCUGAGUAUAAAACCUCAGUCUCCUUA
rnacentral:tRNA from 1 species